rnacentral:lncRNA from 10 species
GGUCACUGCCUUAGCUGUGGUGCUAAGGGGCGCAACUGCUGUGGUGUGCAGCAGACCUGGGGUGCCUAGGAGCAAAGUGCUGCCUCAGCUGUGGCACCAAGGGGAUGUGACUGCUCUGAUGUGAAGGAGGCUGGGUAGUCCUGGGGGUGGGAUGCUGCCUCAGCUGUGGCACCAGGGGUAUGACUGCUCUGGAAUUUCUAGGCUUCAAGUCACCAGAGGUGGGACAUCGCUUCUGCUCAGCCCUAAGGAGAGGGUAAACCAGCGACUAGGAUAGGGGACAAAGUCAUUCUGUGGUAGCUUGGCCCUAGUGGUCAGGUUAUAGCAUCAGCUUUGCCCCAUGAUGGCUCGCUACUGAGCGUGGUAUAGUGCUGGCUAAACCUCCAGGAUGGAGAGAUUCAGUGGCUACUCACUCCCAGAGCAGGCCACACCCUAGCAGUGGCUCAGAUUCUGAGAGGGCACAGAGUAGUAGCAGCACAGGCCACAGAGGGGUGGGGCACAGUGUCUGCUUUUUCUCUGGGCGUAGCCCAGGAUUUAGACUCCAGGGAGCUCCCUCAGUUGGGCUCAGAACCUGCGAGGAUGGCAGCGGUGUCCAGCAGUGAAGACUGAAGGUGUCCACAGCUGUGAUAGGGGCUUCUGGGUCCUCUUGCUUGCUUUUCUUCACAGGAAGAAGUCCCUCCUAGCUCCUAGGGGGUUUGAUUGUGAGCGGCAAGGGUGUGGCAGAGAUUAUGCUCCAAGACACUGAAUCUGAAAGGAUGCAUCCAGUCUUGCCAAGUGGUUUCACUACCAAGGCCAGUCUCCAUCUAUGAUAGACCCAAGGAAGAUCAUUUACAACUAGAAUCUAGUCAUUUAGGAGAUUGUGUGCUCCCUGGAUGGGCCAUCUGCACUGGUGUGAGGUUUAUCUCAUUGAAGGGAAAACCAAAGGAAUCUUCUUGAAUAUCAGCACCAGGAAGAGCAGUACAAACUGGAGAAGCUGGGAGCCUCACAUCAGUGUCAGAAAGCUAGUUGACAUGGAAGCCUGAAAAAUGCAGCUUGCCAGGAUGCCUCCUCCCUUCCACUCCUCUCUUCAAUUCAGAGGGGAGAAGUGAGAAGGUCAUUGUUGAGAGACAAAAUGAGAUCAUGUCUGGGAAAAUACUUCUAAAUUAUCAACUCCCUUUCUAUGGAAGAGGAUGACCAAAGAAGGAUGCACUCCUUGUCUGGAAUUAUGCCAGAGGUCUUAAAAUGCUCAGAAAUGAAAUCAGCCUUCUUCCCUGUCCUAAGAGGCUCAGGUUUUCGGCAAGUAACUCAUAAAAUUAAUGCUCCACUGAAAAUAAAAUCUGAUUUGAGUAGUAUCAGCACUUAGAAGACCUUUGGAGGCCGGGGGUAUUUUCUCUUUUACAAUGCUGUGAACAACAUUCACUCCUGGAAAACACUCCAAUGUCUUACAUCUUGAGGCUGUGGGGAUUUUUUUUUCUUUUGGUUUAAAUGUUGCCUUUCCUAUCUUUCUGCAUAUCAAUUUUUCCCCUGCCCAAGUCACAGGCUUGGUAGUAACCAUCAUGUUUACUGCUGUUCCUUCACAUGUGGUUCUCUGAGGCUUCUGAGCACCAGAAUUUUAUUAAACAGAGCUACUCACACCAUAAAGAUGGAAUUCUGCCAGAUCUGAAUCAUAGAAUAACACCAGAAUUGACUUCAGAAAUCAUCUUCUCUAAAGAUUUGCAAGAUUUUUAAACAGCACAUGCCUUUGUAAAAUGAAAUCAUCAGUGGAACACCGUAUAUAAAAUAAAAUUAAUAAAAACUACUAUGGCUGGAGAGGUGAAACUCUAACAUAUUACACAGUCUCCUGGGUUUUUUUGCAGAUAUUAAGGAUCCACUGAACCAUUUGAAAACUACCCUAUAUACUCCCCCUUUCCAGUGCUUCAGUCCCUUCUAUAGUAAUCACCACUGGAUUGUUCAGUCUUUCAAUAUUUUCAGUGGUGCCUAUCCUCCCAAGAAAGGCCAUCUUAAUUUGGGACAGCUUUAACUGUCUAUUUGGAAAAUCAUUCUUAUAUUUUAAUGGUCUCCUUGUAACCUCUAUUUAUUGUUACUAGAACAGAACUAGACUGUGCUCUAUUCCAUCUAAGUAUUGGGGUCAAUGAUCAUAUUCCUCCACAAACUUAUAGUUUUUUUACAAACUAAAUAUCCCCUGAUUUUUUCAACUUUAUCACAGUGUGAGAAUAUGUGGGCCUAAUCUCUUUAUUCUAAUUUCUUUCCUUUGAACUUGCUUCACUUUGUCAAUGUCAGUUUUAAUUUGUGUGCCUAGAACUGUAAAAAGUAAUCCCUAUGUUGACUGUAAUCAUCAACUCUUUCACUUUGAACAUUCUACCCCUGUUAAUUUGGCCUAUAAUUGAAUUUGAUUUGGGGAAAACUUGUCGGAGCUUAGCCAACUAAAUCCCCAAUAUCAUCCUUGAAUAUGCUACUGCAGAACCAAAUCUCCCAUAUUACAAACUUUUAAAAUUGUUUUAAUGACUUCAUGUGGUCAUUUUCCUUUGCCAUGGCUUUUAAAGUCACAUGGUUCUAUUAGAAAGAUUUCUAGGUCUCUUGUCAUUUCUAGAAUCUGGUUUGUUGGAUUUGGCAAAUCAAUAUCUGUAUAUUUGUUCACUUUUUAUUCUGUCAAUCGCAAACAUGCCAUCUGCUUAAUAAUUUCCCACAGAUCUUUAUUGAUAUAUAUUUUGUUGGGAAAGAAUUUAUCAUUUUAGAUCCAGAAUAUGUAAUCAUAGCUGUCCAUUUAUAUCUGACCAUAAAGAACUUUCCUACUAUAGAAUUUUUGAGAUUUGGUGAGGGCUAACUAGAAGGCUGAAAGGAUAGGAAAGCUGCUGAGUUUAUUUGGUUACACACCAAUGGUCCUGUAAGUCUGUAAUUUCAAAAAUCUACCCGAAAACAAGGGAUUGUAUCCACUGUUAAAUGGAUGAAGUUUUAAGCAUCAGAAAAUCAGUCUGAAUUUUCAUUAUUCCCUAGAAAUUUUCUCAACUUUGUGAGUUUCAUCCAGGUACUUUGCCGUUCUUGAACAUAUUUUCAUGUGGUUUUAUAAUAUUUAUUCAACAUUAUUUUCCAUUAGUUCUCUAAUUUUAAUUGUUGGUAAGCAUUUCGAUGUGUAGCUAUUACAUGGUGCAGAACUGAUUUAUCCACGUUAAUGUCUGAGGAGACCAUGACCCAUUUUAUCUGCUGCGUGGUCAGCCCUGGUAUUCAUGGCAGGUUGUCUGAAUAUUUCUGAUGAAGUCUUUAAGUACAUGUAAUUCUGAAAACACAUUCCCAUUCAGUAAGACUUAUACAGGAUGGUAAGCCUAACAUGGCAAAAGGUUUCUAAAAAAUUCCAUAAACAUUAAGCAUAUUUAUGUCAUAGCAUUAAGUUUGGUCAAUUUGAAACUUACCGUAUUGUAGUAUAAGAGGCAUUUUGUUUGCUUGUGUUUACUUUCCCAG